GCAGCUGCAGUGAAACCGUUGAAAAAUUCUAUACAGAAUAUUACUCUUAUACUUAUCUUUCACACUCGUUGGUUCGUCGAACUAGCAAACUCCAACGUCUCACUAGGCCAUGAGUUCAAAAACGAGGGUUUUGGUCCUGGCACAGUUAUUUUAUGUGAUCAGGUUCUUACUGAGGGUAAACAAAAAGAUGUACUUAAAGCUGCCGGUGCAUUGUUUUCACAUAUUUGUGAGGUUUAGGCAAGGUUAAUGUGCAUCACAUUUAUGGACAAGCUAGUAUCGUGGGGGUUAAUGUUGGGAUAGAAUGACUUUGUUGGAUAUAUGGAUGAAUGUAUCGAAUCUUUACAUAAAUAAAUGUG